rnacentral:pre_miRNA from 1 species
AAUAACUCUAUUUUUCAGUUUUUUGAUAUAAUGUUUUGACUCUUUGUCUUAUUUAAAAAAAUUGCGAUUAAUAUUUUUAUUGUUAAAUAUGAAUAGUACUUUAUGCGUGACUAAUUUUGUAAAGUUUUUAUAUAAAAUUUUUAAAUAAGACGAAUGGUCAAAUAUUAAACAAGGAAAAACA